rnacentral:rRNA from 1 species
GUGGGGAAUAUUGGACAAUGGGCGAAAGCCUGAUCCAGCAAUGCCGCGUGAGUGAUGAAGGCCUUAGGGUUGUAAAGCUCUUUUACCCGGGAUGAUAAUGACAGUACCGGGAGAAUAAGCUCCGGCUAACUCCGUGCCAGCAGCCGCGGUAAUACGGAGGGAGCUAGCGUUGUUCGGAAUUACUGGGCGUAAAGCGCACGUAGGCGGCUUUGUAAGUUAGAGGUGAAAGCCUGGAGCUUAACUCCAGAACUGCAUUUAAGAGAGCAUCGCUUGAAUCUGGGAGAGGUGAGUGGAAUUCCGAGUGUAGGGGUGAAAUUCGUAGAUAUUCGGAAGAACACCAGUGGCGAAGGCGGCUCACUGGACCAGAAUUGACGCUGAGGUGCGAAAGCGUGGGGAGCAAACAGGAUUAGAAACCCUGGUAGUCC